GACGAACGCUGGCGGCAGGCUUAACACAUGCAAGUCGAACGCAUCCUUCGGGAUGAGUGGCAGACGGGUGAGUAACGCGUGGGAACGUGCCCAGAGGUACGGACUGACAACGGGAAACUGUUGCUAAUGCCGUAUACGCCCGUUAGGGGGAAGAUUUAUCGCCUUUGGAUCGGCCCGCGUUGGAUAGGUAGUUGGGAGUAUGGCUCACCAGCCGACGAUCCAUAGCUGGUCUGAGAGGAUGAU
rnacentral:rRNA from 1 species